UACGAAGGGGGCUAGCGUUACUCGGAAUUACUGGGCGUAAAGGGCGCGUAGGCGGCGCUCCAAGUUAGGCGUGAAAGUCCUGGGCUCAACCUGGGAACUGCGCUUGAUACUGGAGUGCUUGAGGAUGGAAGAGGGUUGUGGAAUUCCCAGUGUAGAGGUGAAAUUCGUAGAUAUUGGGAAGAACACCGGUGGCGAAGGCGGCAACCUGGUCCAUUACUGACGCUGAGGCGCGACAGCGUGGGGAGCGAACAGG
rnacentral:rRNA from 1 species